GGCGGGCGGAGGGAGCGGCGGCCGAGGCGAAGGCGGUGGUGGCGGCGCUGGCUCUUGUCACCCGGCAGCGGGAGCGCCAGGACCAAGGAUAUCCAGAAUGGACAGGCUUCAGACACCAUAUUUGCUUCCAUCUCAGCUGGCUCAUCAUAAUCAUAAGAUCAAUGCUUCUGUUCCAAGAAUCAUAUGAAAAAAAUCCAUUGUAAGAAGAGGGACCAUUCUUCUUGUUUUGAUACCAAGGAGACUCCUUAGUAAACAUUCUGCUGGCUCAAUUCCACCUCAGAGUCUACCUCCUAGGAAACCCAACCCAUGACGACUAUUGGAUAACACCUUUAAGUACUAAAAUAAGUACAGCUGUUAACCCAGCUUCUAUAUGCUACAAAAUUAUCUUUCAAAAAUGAAGAAAAACAAAGAUGUUUUCAGAUGGAUAAAAGCUAAGAAUUGGUCCUGGAAUGAGCCUGGAGAAAGUAUAAGCAUAGCCAUUUUGAGAAAGUCAUCAUUUCAUUACCAAACGCAGGUUUGGCUGUUGAUGAAAAAUAAAAACAAAGAAGCAACAACCACUAAAACAUCUUUUUCCAGGUACUCCCAGGAAGACCUACUUAAUGAAGAGUUCUGCAUUGGAUUUAUAUUGAUUUCUAGCAUAGCUGGGCUCUAGCACUCUUCUGGAACAACCAGAGGACCAUAUUUUGUACUCACUUUCUCUUCCCCUUUGGCCAUGGUGGGAAUUAGUGUUGAAAUCAAUAAGCCCUAACCAUUGUCUCGUUGACAUGGCGUUCACCUGUGAUUUUUUUGUCCUCUGACAGUGUUCCUUAUUUUUACCUUAAGGGAGUGCUAACUUAGUUGGUAAGAUCAUAGACUUUGAACUAAGGCAAAUAUGGGUUCAGGUUCUAGGUCUUCUGCUCAUAGCUGUAUGACUCUGGACAAGUUACAUAAUCAUGCUGUGUCUUUGUUUGCUCAAGUGUGAGAUUACUUACCUUUGGGGAUUGGAGGGUAGUUGAAGCAAGGCAAAGGAAGAGCUUUGAUAGAGCUGUCUCUUAACUUUAUCAAAUUGCUGCUGAGUGAGAAGGGCUCUGAGUGGAUCCUGUAACUUCCACUCCCCCCUUUCAGGGGAGGUCAGGGCAGAGCUGUACUCAAAGACCUUAUGUCUUUUGACUCAAUGGAUUCUGAGAUAUCAUCUGCAUUAAUGACUCUCCUGGGACAUUUGGAAGUCACUGCCCAGAUACUCUUUAGAGCUACAGAAUUUAUUAAGGACAAUAAUUUCGAGAGGAGGCUGGAAAGGUAGCAUUCUUUGUAUACCUUAAUAGUGGCAAAGAUGAGUAGAUAAGUCAGUAAUCAGAAAUAACCUCUGCAUUUAUAUAUAAUAGCUCUCUGAACUCCUCUCCCCUGAAUGCUCCCUUUUUUGGUAUUUAUUGUUUUACUGUCACCUCUUCCAGGAUGACCCAGAACCUCUGGGAGCCCAGCUACUGGUCAAACCUAUGUUUGAGCUCAGGCUGCUUAGAAACACCUAUAGGACAUCCUCUAGCCUGACAAGGGACAUUAUAAUACAAGGCCAUAGUCAAUAGGUACCAAAUAGCAAGGGGAGUGAGUCAGAUGGGAGAAGUCCUGGCUGUCCUUCUCCCACUCUCCUCAUCUGUCCUUGUCAGAGAGUUUGGACCCUUUGUAACGACAAAGUCCAUAGCUCUGGUUGCCUCCCACAUUCAAUUCCUCCAUUCCUCCUUUCCUACCUCAAUUUUAGCAACUUUUCUCUAUUACACAUCCUAGAGACUCACCCCAGCAAUCUUAUAUGAGGCCCCAAACAAGUGAUUGGUGAGGUUGAUGUAGAUACAACCUCCAAGAAUAGUUCCAACUCUGGCCCAGUGGAAGGGGGCCAAGACUGCAGGACGCUCAAGGAUGCUCAUACACAGCCCAGCGGGCAACUCCAUUUCUGUCAGAAUACCCAGAUGGGUGACUCCAGGUCUAUCCUCUCUGGUGGGGGGAACUUUUGGAAGAGAUUAGCCUGUCUGUAUCCUUAAACUGGCCAGCUACUUCUAGCGCAUGGGUCCAAUCCUCAAUGUAAAUGAAUUGCUACUCUGAUAUAUUGUGCACAGCUUAGAAUGCCAAAUACUUAUUUCAGGAUUGCACUGUGUUUUGGGAAGAGAUUUAUAAUGCCUUUGGCUCUUGAUCCCUUGCCCCAUUUCCUGUUUAUGGGUAUAUACUUGUCCCUCUGACCUCAUGCUUGAUGCUGUCCUUUGGACAUGGCCUUUUAAUUUCUCUUCAUAGUGACUUUGAUUUACCCUUAGGAUUACCUCUGCUUCUACUUCAUUGAGUCAACACUUAUGCCUGGUCCAGCCCUCCCCUCAUGAUUCCUGAUAUUAUCUUUCAUGGCAGGUAUUUUCCACCCUGACCCUGUUAAGAGGAACCACAUAUAAAAAGUAACACAUGAGGUUACCAUCUACUGUAAGGACUAUAGGUUUCUAGGGAGUUUCACCUCUUUCACCCCACAAAACCCCAGUCUAGUAACUCUCAGGGGUAAGAUUUAUAGCCAGCAGAGUCAGAAACUAUCCAAGUAUGAACACUUUAAGACUGAUGGGGUACAACAAAAACAGGUAUAGAAUACAACUGGGAAGCUGUAAAUAAUACAUGCAUCUAACAUUCUUGCUCAUGACUCUGAUCACGGCAUUUUGUUACCUAUGUUUCUUCUCUAUCUGUUUCUAACUCUAAAUGGUUUCCUUGUGGCUGGAUCCAUGAACUUGCUGGCUAUUUUUCUUGACUUACUUCUUCCCCAUUGCAUUUUGACAAUAGCCCUUAUUCUCUGUCCCUCAUCUGUCCUCCACCCUGCCUCUCCAGCAUGGAAUGAUCAGGUCCUCCUCCACCAACUGCUACUCUUUUCCUUAUUUUGUGAUCUAGAUACUUUUAAAUAGGGCUUACACCCCCUAUGGGAAAUUUAGAAGAAAGACAGUUAAGUGAUGGAAAAGGGGAUGAGGCAAAGAGCUAGUAGGAAGUGGGAAAGGGUGAAGCCAGGGAAGAGCCAUGGAGGGAGAGGAAGAAUUGUAAGGUCAUUCAGGUAAUAUUUGGUGGGUAAAACAUUUGAAAGAAUGAAGACAAAUGGUAAAUGGAAUUCUCCAAGAACAAAAGUAAAGUGUGUGGACAUGAGACCUGGACAUAGGAAAACAAAAUGGGUGUAAUAGUCAUUGGAGAGGUGUGUGGCAGGAAUGAGUGCUGGGAAGGUGAAAUACAGGGCCAUUCCAAGGUGAAAUGAUAAAGGUGGGCAACUGAAGCAUUAAACAGAGGACUCCCAUGAAAGGUCCCUGUCAUAGUUCUUGUCUUGAAGAAAGGGAUAUUUUAAAGUUUAUUUAUUUAUUUAUUUAAUAAUCCCUCCACCUAGUGUGGAGCUCAAACUCAUUACCCUGAGAUCAAAAAUCAUUUACUGUAACAACUAAACCAGGAAGGGACCCCAAGAAAAGGAUAUUCUAAAAAAUGGCUUGAAUAAGUACAAAAAUAACUAUACAACAAAGUAGACUAUUAACUACAACCAGAAAAAUACAAAUAAAGGGUAAAGGGUUACUGCAAAAAGGAUGCCAUGGCAGUUGACACUUAGUGCUGUGCCUUAUGUGGAAUAUAUACUCAACAAAACCAUUUCAGGAGAAAAGCUGACAUUGGAAAGGGUACAUGUGUGCUUUUGAAAUCAUAUAGCUGAUGUUUACUUCUCUACUAGUGAUUCUCAACAAUGGAUGCACAUAAGAAUCCCCUGGGAAGCCUUUAGAAUGACCAAUAUCCAGACUCGGCAUUCAGAGGUUUUCAGUUAAUGGGUCUGGAAUAAAACCGGGGCAUUACUAUUUUUCUAAAGCUCCCAGAUGAUUCUAAUGGUCAACUAAGAUGAGAGACCUUUGGUAUGUGUACAUUUUUUUCUUUUGAAAGAUUAAAAGGCUUAGAAUCAAAGAAUAGAAACACAAAUUUGGGAAGUAGAAGGUACAGAUUCUAAAUUAAGCACUAAUGCCAGUUAAUACAUCUUGGAUAAUUUUCUGCGAGGAGUGCCUGUGUGGCUCAGUUAGUUGAGUGUUCGACUCCUUGAUUUUGGCUCAGGUCAUGUUC